rfam:Danio rerio unplaced genomic contig NA151, GRCz11 reference primary assembly.
GCCACAGCCGUAUCACCCUGCAGCCCAAGACCGGUUACUCACUAAAGCUAAGCAGGGCUGAGCCUGGUCAGUACCUGAAUGGGUGACCACAUGGGAACACUAGGUUGCUGUUGGCA